UAGAUAUUUCUUUUUCAAAAGGCAACCAAAGUACUUUUAUGCAUGUACUGCUUUAUAUGUAAUCGGUAGCCAAGGUUUUGGGCGAAAAUAUUACCAUUGGAACAUCAAGCAAAAAUAUAAGUUAAUUAUUCGAAUUAAUUAUUUAAAUUCGGGUACUAGUGGGAUAUUAUUCGGAGGUUUUAGGGCAGAUAUUCUAUCUUUGGCGUUCAGAUCCAGGUACUAACGGUCGACGUUGAUGCGGUUUCUACCUUUCAGUGCUGAUUUAGAGCGGGGUGAGCUUACUGUCGUUCGAAGCUGAUCCUCCUCUAUCUAUUCUAGUUAGUCUUUUUCAUUCGAGACUACUUUUGUACAUUUUAGAUUUUUGUCAAGUACUCUGACUACCUGUUAGUAGUGACUCUAGUACUGAUCUUAUCAGGUCUUGGGAGGAAUUAAUUUGUAUAAUUGGUCCUUUUUCCUCCUUUCGUUUUUGAUAUAAUACAUAUGCUUUCUUCUUAGUUUUUA